UUAAAAGUAAUGAUAAUAGAUUUGAAAUAAUUAUUAUAUAGAUUUAAAGAGAUAAUCAUAGAAUACAUAAUUAUAGUAUAUAUAUAUAUAUUAAUAUAUAUAUAUAAUAUAAUAAAUUUAUUAAUAGUAAUAUAGGUUACUAAUAAAAUAUAUUAUAUAUAUUUUUAAUACCUAAGGUAAACCAUAUAUAUAUUAAUAUUAAUAUAAUAUUAAUAUAUAAAAUAUAACUUAGUGAACUGAAACAUCUAAGUAACUAAAGGAAUAUAAAUCAACCGAGAUAUUAUGAGUAUUGGUGAGAGAAAAUAAUAAGGUCUUCAAGUAUUAUGUUAGAUAAUAUAUAAGAAUAUUAUUUAUAUAUUUAUAUAUAUAAAUAAAUAAGGAUAAACAAUUUCUAAGACUAAAUACUAUUAAUAAAUAUAAAAAGUACCGUAGGGGAAAGUAUAAUAAAAUGGUUAUUUUAUAAGCAAUCAUAAAUAAUAAUAAAAUAUUAUUAAUGAUGUACCUUUUGUAUAAUGGGUCAGCAAGUAAUAUAUAUAAGCAAAAUAUAUUAAUAUUAUAAUAAAUAUGUUAAUAAUAUAAUUCCAAAUCCUUAAAGAUUUGAGAUCUUAUUAAAAGUUUAUAUAUAUUGACCCGAAAGCUAAUGAUCUUACUAUGAUAAGAUAUAUAAAUGAUCGUACAGGUUGAUGUUGCAAUAUCAUCUGAAUAAUUGUAGUAAGCUAGUGAAAGACAAAUCUGAUUAGCAGAUAGCUGGUUUUCUAUGAAAUAUAUAUAAGUAUAGCUCUUAAUUACCUUUUAUUUAAAGAGGAUUAAAAAUAUAUAAUUAUUUUUAAUAAUAUAAUUAUUAUAUCUUUUUAUAUAUAUUAUAUGUUUACAUAUUUUAUAUAUAAAUAAUGUAAUGAAUGGUACAGCUAUUAAUAUACAUUAGGGAACUAUAAUAGUUUUAUUAAUAAUAUUAAAUCUCGAAAUAUUUAAUUAUAUAAAUUAAGAAGUCAGAUUAUAUGCGAUAAGGUAAAUAAUCAAAAGGGAAACAGCCCAGAUUAAUAUAUAAGGUUCCAAAUAAUAUAAUAAGUGAAAUAAAUAUUUUAAUAUUAUAAUUUAAUCAGUUAAUGGGUUUGACAAUAACCAUUUUUUAAUGAACAUGUAACAAUGCACUGAUUUAUAAUAAAAAUAAUAUUAUAAAAUAAAUAUAUAUAUAUUAUUAUAUAUAUAUUUAUAAAAUAUAUAAUAUACGGAUCUUUUUUAUAAUAUAUUUAUAAAUAUAAAUAUAUAAAAUUAUAUAACCGAAUAUUUAAAUAUUAUUAUUAAUUAUAAUAAUAAUAAUAUGGUAAUAGAACAUCUAAUGAAAAUAUAUAUAAGUUAUUAAUUUAUAUAUAAUAUAUUAUAAUAAAUAAUAUAUUAAUUAAUUAGAUAGAGAAUGCUGACAUGAGUAACGAUAAAAAGGUUUAUAAUCCUUUUCACCUAAAACAUAAGGUUUUAUUAUAAAAGUACGGCCCCUAAUUUAUAUUAUAUAAAUAUAUAAAAGAUGGGAUAAUUCUAAUAUUAAUAAAUAAUAAUAUAUAUUAUAUUUUAUAUAAUAAAUUAUAUAUUCCCUACCGGCCCUCAUGCUUGCAGUUAGGCGAGAGGGGUUAUCAAGAAAUUAUUAAUAUAUAUACCGUAAUGUAAACCGACACAGGUAUGUAAGUAGAGAAUAUGAAGGUGUAUUAGAUAAUUAAGGAGAAGGAACUCGGCAAAAAUAGUUCUAAAAUUAGAUAAGAUAAUAAAAACAAAGUUGUACAACUGUUUACUAAAAACACAGCACUUUGCAGAAAUAUAAAUUAAAGUAUAAGGUGUGAACUCUGCUCCAUGUUUAAUAUAUAAAAUAUAUUAUUAUAUUUGAUAAUAUAUAUAAAUUUAAUCAAAUAGCAGCCUUAUUAUGAGGGUUAUAAUGUAGCGAAAUUCAUUGGCUACUAAAUAUAGUCCUGCAUGAAUGACGUAAUGAUACAACAACUGUCUCCUCCUUAAGCUAAGUGAAAUUGAAAUCGUAGUGAAGAUGCUAUGUAUUUAUAGUAAGACGGAAAGACCCUAUGCAGCUUUACUGUAGUUAGAUAGAUCGAAUAAUUAUAUAUUAUAUUCAGAAUAUUAAGUUAAUAUUAUAUAUAUAUUAUAUAUAUAUAUAAAUAAUCGUUUAGAUAAAAAUGAGAUACUUAUUAUAAUAUUAUAAUUAUUCUAAUCUUAUAAUGUAAUUAUUUAAUAGUUAUAAUUUAUAAUUAUAAUAAUAGAUAUAUUCUUAAAUAAUAAUAGACAAUCUUGUUUUAUCUUUUAGAGAAGAAACAUGAUUAUCUUAUAUCCAUUAGGUUAACUAAUGGGAUAAGAGACAAUCUCUAAUUGGUAGUUUAGAUGGGGCGUCUUGUUCAGCAAAAGUAUCUGAAUCAGUCCAUAUAUAAAAUAUAUAAAAUUAUUAAUAAUAAAAUAUAUAUUAAAUAUAUUAAUUAUAAUAAAAUAUAUAUAUAUUUAUUUAUAUAUAUAUUUAUAAUAGAAUAAAGAUGUACAGUAAUAAAUUGUCUGGAAAACAAUAAUAAAUUUAUAUUUAUAUAUAAAUUACAAUAAAUAUUAAUAAAAUAUAAUGGUAUAACUGUGCUAUAAUUAUAACACAAACAAGUGAAAUAAGUACGUAAGUAUGGCAUAAUGAACAAAUAACACUUAUUGUAAGGGUUAUUGAUAACGAAUAAAAGUUACGCUAGGGAUAACAGGGUAAUAUAACGAAAGAGUAGAUAUUGUAAGUUAUGUUUGCCACCUCGAUGUCGACUCAACCUAUCCUCUUGGUUGUAAAAUUUAAUAAGGGUUUGACUGUUCGUCAAUUAAAAGGUUACGUGAGUUGGGUUAAAUACGAUGUAAAUCAGUAUGGUUCCUAUCUACUAUAAAUAAUAUUAUCAAAUUAAGUCUCAUUAUUAGUACGCAAGGACCAUAACAAUAAACCUAUGGUGUAUCUAUUGAUUAUAUAAUAAUAUAAUAAUAUUAUCUAUAUUAAUUUAUAUAAUAUAAUAUAUAGUCAUAGUAGAUAAGCUAAGUUUAUAAAUAAUAAAUAUUGAAUACAUAUAAAAUAUGAAGUAGUCUUAAUAAGAUAAUUAUUAAUACAGUUAUAGAAGUAAUUAACUUCUAAAGCUAUAUUAACAGUGCCGGGACCCCUGUAAGGGGGCCUUGCACACCGAAGGAGAUAAUUUUAUACUAAAAUAUAAAUAGGUUUUAUAUAUAUUUAUUAUAAUAAAAUACUAAUUUAUCUCUUAUCUAUAUAAUAUCUAAUCU
rnacentral:rRNA from 1 species